rnacentral:lncRNA from 1 species
CAGGGGUACCUACAUCCAUUUUAAGCUUUUCUUCAUGAGGGUGACAUCGGAAUAGCCGGUACGCAAGAGACGGGAAUUUAGAGCUAUGACCAGUAAUGCUUGCAAUAUUAACAACAUGGAUGGAGAAGAAGCAUGAAUAUAUCAUCUAGAUGGCUCCCAGUAUUAUCUUUCAAAUCUAGAGCCCUAAUAAAUUUAGAAAUUAAACCCUCUUAUUGUACUUAUAUUCCAUUUUCCGAAUAAUUGA